rnacentral:rRNA from 1 species
UACGUAGGGGGCGGAGCGUUUGUCCGGAUUUAUUGGGCGUAAAGAGCUCGUAGGCGGCUUAGCAAGUCGGGUGUGAAAACCUCCAGGCUCAACCUGGAGACGCCACUCGAGACUGCUAGUGGCUAGAGUCCGGUAGGGGACCACGGAAUUCCUGGUGUAGCGGUGAAAUGCGCAGAUAUCAGGAGGAACACCGGUGGCGAAGGCGGUGGUCUGGGCCGGCACUGACGCUGGAGGAAGCGAAAGCGUGGGGAGCAAACAG